CGGAGGGUGCGAGCGUUGUUCGGAAUCACUGGGCGUAAAGCGCGUGUAGGCGGCCCACUUAGUCUGAUGUGAAAGCCCGGGGCUCACCCCCGGAAGUGCAUUGGAAACUGGUGGACUCGAGUCCCGGAGAGGAGAGUGGAAUUCCUGGUGUAGCGGUGAAAUGCGUAGAUAUCAGGAGGAACACCGGUGGCGAAGGCGGCUCUCUGGACGGUGACUGACGCUGAGACGCGAAAGCGUGGGGAGCAAACAGGAUUAGAUACCCUGGUAGUCCACGCCGUAAACGAUGAGCACUAGGUGUCGCGGGUAUUGACCCCUGCGGUGCCGACGCUAACGCAUUAAGUGCUCCGCCUGGGGAAUACGGCCGCAAGGUUA
rnacentral:rRNA from 1 species